rnacentral:misc_RNA from 1 species
UCCUCUUUACAGAGGCAGUUUGUUUCGAGUUCCCACCAUUACGUGCUGGCAACAAAACAUGAGGGUUGCGCUCGUUGCGGGACUUAACCCAACAUUUCACAACACGAGCUGACGACAGCCAUGCACCACCUGUGGACCACCCUCGAAGGCGACUCCUUUUCGGGAGCUUGCAGGUCCAUGUCAAACCCUGGUAAGGUUCUUCGCGUUGCAUCGAAUUAAGCCACAUGCUCCACCGCUUGUGCGGGCCCCCGCCAAUUCCUUUGAGUUUUAGUCUUGCGACCGUAGUUCCCAGGCGGUUCACUUAAUGCGUUAGCUGCGGCACCGAGGCAAAGCCCCAACACCUAGUGAACAUCGUUUAUGGCCAAGACUAC